rnacentral:rRNA from 1 species
GAUGAACGCUGGCGGCGUGCUUAACACAUGCAAGUCGAACGAACCUUCGGGUUAGUGGCGGACGGGUGAGUAACGCGUGAGAAUCUGCCCUCAGGAGGGGGAUAACGGUUGGAAACGACCGCUAAUACCCCAUAUGCCUAUGGGUGAAAUGAAUUUCGCCUGAGGAUGAGCUCGCGUCUGAUUAGCUAGUUGGUGAGGUAAUGGCUCACCAAGGCUUCGAUCAGUAGCUGGUCUGAGAGGAUGAUCAGCCACACUGGGACUGAGACACGGCCCAGACUCCUACGGGAGGCAGCAGUGGGGAAUUUUCCGCAAUGGGCGAAAGCCUGACGGAGCAACGCCGCGUGAGGGACGAAGGCCUCUGGGCUGUAAACCUCUUUUCUCAAGGAAGAAGAUAUGACGGUACUUGAGGAAUAAGCCACGGCUAAUUCCGUGCCAGCAGCCGCGGUAAUACGGGAGUGGCAAGCGUUAUCCGGAAUUAUUGGGCGUAAAGCGUCCGCAGGCGGCUUUUCAAGUCUGCUGUUAAAACGUGGAGCUUAACUCCAUCAUGGCAGUGGAAACUGAAAGGCUUGAGUAUGGUAGGGGCAGAGGGAAUUCCCGGUGUAGCGGUGAAAUACGUAGAUAUCGGGAAGAACACCAGUGGCGAAGGCGCUCUGCUGGGCCAUUACUGACGCUCAUGGACGAAAGCCAGGGGAGCGAAAGGGAUUAGAUACCCCUGUAGUCCCGGCCGUAAACGAUGAACACUAGGUGUCGGGGGAAUCGACCCCUUCGGUGUCGUAGCUAACGCGUUAAGUGUUCCGCCUGGGGAGUACGCACGCAAGUGUGAAACUCAAAGGAAUUGACGGGGGCCCGCACAAGCGGUGGAGUAUGUGGUUUAAUUCGAUGCAACGCGAAGAACCUUACCAGGGUU